rnacentral:tRNA from 1 species
GCCUGGGUGGCUCAGUUGGUUGAGUGUCUGACUUCGGCUCAGGUCAUGAUCUCACAGCUUGUGAGUUCAAGCCCCACGUUGGGCU